rnacentral:rRNA from 1 species
GAUGAACGCUGGCGGCGUGCCUAACACAUGCAAGUCGAACGGACAUUUUUUGGAAAGCUCUUCGGAACUGGAAUCUGAAUGUUAGUGGCGGACGGGUGAGUAACGCGUGAGCAAUCUGCCUUUCAGAGGGGGAUAACAGCCGGAAACGGCUGCUAAUACCGCAUAAUGCAGUUGGGCCGCAUGGCUCUGACUGCCAAAGAUUUAUCGCUCUGAGAUGGCCUCGCGUCUGAUUAGCUAGUUGGUGGGGUAACGGCCCACCAAGGCGACGAUCAGUAGCCGGACUGAGAGGUUGGCCGGCCACAUUGGGACUGAGACACGGCCCAG